rnacentral:rRNA from 1 species
UACGUAGGUGGCAAGCGUUGUCCGGAUUUAUUGGGUUUAAAGGGUGCGUAGGCGGUCUUUUAAGUCAGUGCUGAAAUAUCCCGGCUUAACCGGGAGGGUGGCAUUGAUACUGAAGGACUUGAGUUCAGUCGAGGUAGGCGGAAUUGACGGUGUAGCGGUGAAAUGCUUAGAUAUCGUCAAGAACACCGAUAGUGUAGACAGCUUACUAGGCUGAAACUGACGCUGAGGCACGAAAAGUGUGGGGAUCAAACAGG